GGAAGAAGCUCCUGCAGAGAAGACUUGCCCAGAGAUGCUGUGGCUGCCUGAUACUUUACUUAAAGGACUAAUGGGGAUCCAGCAACUCAUCAGGUUUCCUUUUCUAAACAACCCCAGCACAUGAUCCCACCGGACCCACUUCUGAUGGCCACCCCAGUUCCAUACACAGGACAGACUCCUAGCAAUUAGAGGUUAAUCCUACAUAUACACACAUCUGUUUACCUGCUCUAACUAAUGAUAAUGGAUCAUGCAAGAUGUGAGGAACACAAUCUUUCUUCAAGCAAUGUUUUGAGUAGCAAUCCUCUCCCUCUAAUGGAAAUUAGUCAAGAUGUACAUGGAGGAUUGAUUUCUGAAGAUACACCCAUCCUCUGUCAUCGGAGACAAAAAAAACCCCAAGUGAUUAACUUCCUGGAAUAUGAAAACAACUUGUAAAGGAGAUAGUAUGUGGUGUUGGGAUUUUUUUAAAAUCAAGAGAUACAAUUCAUGAAGAAAUUGGUGAAAAGAAUCCAAACCAGUUGUUCUUCAGAUACAGGGACUGCAUCCAGAGGAUCCCAUGGCCAAGAAAUUUAGGGGAAACCUCUGAGAAGUGUCCACACAGAGCAGUUGGGGGAACCCAAUCCAAUAUUGUUUUGGGGUACAUGGUGCAGUGUGCAAGGUGCAGGGUACUGGCACAGUGCAGUGAUGGCAGGGGCCUAUAUCCAUAUUACAUAAUCACAAUGCAUCUUUAUUUCAGAACAUGAAAUAGUAUUACGCAUACUCAACUGAGGUGUAAUACAAGUUUAUAAUACUUAAAACUGUUGUAGUCAACUCAUAUUAUCAGGGAAUGCAUCUUAAGUGAAGUCUAGAGUACAAUGGUAUUGUAGUGUUUUGUUUGUUUUUGCCACACAUUAUGAGCUCAGGCCACCAAUCUGUAACAGAACAGCCUACUACUCACAAAGUGAGUUGUGAUUCCUCAUGAGUAAGGGAGCAAAAUUUGGCCCUACACGAUUGCUCUGUAUGUUGCUUUAUAUAGAUGUUUCACCAUGUUCUGUGUUUAAAAUAAGUAGCUAAAUAUAGUCCAUUGUAUUAGAUGAUAUACAACACUGGCCGUGUCUAUACGAUACAAUGACUGCACAGUAGCUCAUUAUUACUGUUCAGUAGCAUUGCAUGGCACAAAGCAUGAUGUGACACUACUGCACAGUAGUAACGAGCUACUGAGCACUCAACACCAAAAAGCCAUUUGGGGAUGCUACUGCACAGUAAGUCUAGUUGCUGCAUAGUCUCUUAGUAUUUGUGUAUGCAAGUACUAAAUGACUGUGCAGUAACAACUGCACCGUCAGUGUGUCAUAUAGACGCAGCUAUUGACCACUAAAAUCAAAAUGUGACAGAAUGAUAUAUGUAUGUGUGUGCAUGUUUGCGGAGGAAGACCACCAGUGUAUGCGGUGCUCAUUAUAGGCAUGGCUGGUGAACUCAGACUGGUGGGGAGGUGGAGUGUCCUGUGGGGAAGGGUUUGCAGCCGACUGGGAGCAGAGGGGUUUGCCGCUUCCCCGCUGACAUCCGGAGUGCCUGGCUGGCU